rnacentral:rRNA from 1 species
GUGGGGAAUAUUGGACAAUGGGCGAAAGCCUGAUCCAGCCAUGCCGCGUGUGUGAAGAAGGUCUUCGGAUUGUAAAGCACUUUAAGUUGGGAGGAAGGGUAGUAACCUAAUACGUUGCUACUUUGACGUUACCGACAGAAUAAGCACCGGCUAACUUCGUGCCAGCAGCCGCGGUAAUACGAAGGGUGCAAGCGUUAAUCGGAAUUACUGGGCGUAAAGCGCGCGUAGGUGGUUUUGUAAGUUGGAGGUGAAAUCCCCGGGCUCAACCUGGGAACUGCCUCCAAAACUGCAUGACUAGAGUACGGUAGAGGGUAGUGGAAUUUCCUGUGUAGCGGUGAGAUGCGUAGAUAUAGGAAGGAACACCAGUGGCGAAGGCGACUACCUGGACUGAUACUGACACUGAGGUGCGAAAGCGUGGGGAGCAAACAGGAUUAGAUACCCCGGUAGUCC